UACCAGCUCUCCGAGUGGUGUGGAUGUUUAUUGGGCCUAAAGCAUCCGUAGCUGGCUGGGCAAGUCCCCUGUUAAAUCCACCGAUUUAAUCGUUGGAGUGCGGGGGAUACUGCUCGGCUAGGGGACGGGAGAGGCAGACGGUAUUUUCGGGGUAGGGGUGAAAUCCUAUAAUCCCGAGAAGACCACCAGUGGCGAAGGCUGUCUGCUAGAACGUGCCCGACGGUGAGGGAUGGAAGCUGGGGAAGCGAACCGGAUUAGAUACCCGGGUAGUCCCAGCUGUAACGAUGCAGGCUAGGUGUUUGGACGGCCACGUGCCGUUCUAGUGCCGCAGGGAAGCCGUUAAGCCUGCCGCCUGGGGAUACGGCCGCAAGGCUAGAAACUUAAAGGAACUUGGGCGGGGGAGCACCACGAAGGGGUGAAGCUUGCGGUUU
rnacentral:rRNA from 1 species